rnacentral:lncRNA from 1 species
AAGAGUAUUUGGAUGACCGUGCUUCCCCUGAUCUCCCCGUUGAUCUUGCACUGGCCUUUGCCAAAUCCAAGUCUAUCGUCAUACAGCCUAAAGUAACUCCUGCUCUCGCUCCCUCAGUAUUAGGUGAGUACAAAAGGAAGAGAUCCAGAGAAGAAAGCUCGUCCAUAGAUCUCGAGCCUAAAGCCAAGAAGGCUCUCAAACUUGGCAGCAUUGCUCUUCUUCCACCCCCAACUAUUAAUCUGCAAGAAGAACA